UACAUUUACUCUAGUACUAUACUUAAGUGCCAUUUUGAGGUACUUGUGCUUUACCUGUGUCUUAACUUUGCAUG